CCUACGGGUGGCUGCAGUGGGGAAUAUUGGGCAAUGGGCGCAAGCCUGACCCAGCAAUACCGCGUGAGUGAAGAAGGCCUUCGGGUUGUAAAGCUCUUUUAUCAGGGACGAAUAGAUGACGGUACCUGACGAAUAAGCCACGGCUAACUACGUGCCAGCAGCCGCGGUAAAACGUAGGGGGCGAGCGUUUUCCGGAAUGACUGGGCGUAAAGGGGGCGUAGGCGGGUUGAAAAGGUAGAAGUGAAAUACCCCGAGCUUAACUCAGGUGCUGCAUCUAAGACUGUUGAGCUUGAGUGCGGGAGAGGUUAAUGGAAUUCCUAGUGUAGCGGUGGAAUGCGUAGAUAUUAGGAGGAACACCAGAGGCGAAGGCGAUUAACUGGACCGUAACUGACGGUGAGGCACGAAAGUGUGGGGAGCAAACAGGAUUAGAUACCCGAGUAGUC
rnacentral:rRNA from 1 species